GCCAGGAUGGUGCAGUGGUUUGAAUAUUGGACUAGGACUACAGGAGAUCAGGGUUCAAAUCCCAGCUUGAUA